AUGUGUAAUGGUUUGUAUAUUUACUUUCCGUACAUACACCGUUGGCCGUAUAAAGUUCUUUAACUCAGAAUAAAAACGACUGGACUAGUGUUGAGAAGACUUUUUGAGUGCCAAGGUUGAUUUUUACUUCUUCUUCAUCUUUUUUUCAUCUUCUUGUCGCGCCACGGAAAACGGAGAUUAGAGUUGGAGAGAAAAAAAAAACAAACAAAUUCAAAUAAACCAAGAAACAGCCAAUCGUGAUGAUAAUUAAUAACUAGAAAGAAGAAAUGAAACAAUUUCGAGUUUCGAAAAAGAAAAUGUUCAUGAUGAGGAAAAAAGGCGGGUAAGGAGGAGCGAUCCAGGGUGGGUGGGGGGGGGAGGUGGGAUUUAUAAGGGCAUUACAGUAGUUUGUGGAGAGAAAAAAGUGAUGCACGGGAAAGUGACAAAUAUUUCAUAGAGAUAGAGUAAUAGAGAGAGAGAGAGAGAGAAAAAGAGAUGGAGAGAGUGUGUGGUGUGUGUGUUUUAAUGUGUGUGUAUUUAAGAGAGAGAGAGAGCAAGGGAUUGACGUAAUUUUUCAGGGACAAAAUGUGGGUGGGCAGUUUCCAUACAAGGUGUGGCGAUUUUCGAUGGUGACGGCCUUACGUCACGAUGAAUAAAAGAGCUCGCGUCCGAAAGGUGUGUGUGUUCGUGUGCACAAAAUGGAAGGGUGGGAGGGCAGGUCAAAGCAUUUGGCACCAUAGAAAAACAAAAGUAUAGUUAUCAUCUCCUCUCCUCAUACAACACGUAAAAACCCCAUCAGAUUUUUCGAUUAAAAAAAAAAAAACAAAUUGUAUUAUAAUUUAUCCCUCCAUAAUUUUUGAAGAUGGUUCCGCGUCAUUCUGUUCCCAAGUCCCGUCUGCUGAUCUUUUUUUUUUCAUUUGAGA